rnacentral:lncRNA from 1 species
GGGAGCGGGGCUGCGCGGCGGCGGCGAGAGCGGGCACGAGUCAGAGUUGUCAGAGAAGUAGUAUUGUACCUUCGCCAAAACUGAAAACCAUCUGCUUUUUAUAUGGCAGCAGCACCUAGCAAGGUUUGGGUAUAUCUGUCUUGUUCAAUUUCUUCAGAUAAACUGGAAAUUUUCAAUAAUGGCAAUACGUUCAUUCUGCCAUUUGGAGGAGCCUGUGCCACAGAAUAAUGAUCUGAAGAAAGCUCACUUAUUUGCAAGGAAGAGUCUUCAUUUGGGAAGUAGUUCCGUUGCAGCUAACAGGUGCUUUGUCAAGUUCAGGUUAGUACUUUGUUUUGUUUUGUUUUGGCUUUGUUUGUUUGUUUUUAUUAUACUUAUUUGGUUUUGGUAGGCUGGCAUUUCAUUUAAAUUAGCAUACAUGCAGUGUCAUGUGAGAGACUGACAGCCUUUGUGUUGGUCAUUUGACAUAUAAAGGAUCUUGAAAUGAAAAGGCACAUGCAGUGGCAUACAUACUUACGAGAUGUGUGGAGGGAAACUGUUGUCUGGAAAAUUAUUUUAGCACAAUUUAUUAUUAUCUGUGGAGUUGUUCAGGAUGGAGAUUAUGAUGAUCAUAAUGACAGGAUUCCCUGUUGCUACAAGUUCUUAUUCAGAGUUUUCUUAUGUGUUUCUUUAUUUUCUGAAUUCAAUAUUUUGUUACGCUAGAGUUGCUGUUUUGAAUGUGUUAAUAAUUAAGUCUCAAAUCAUUUAGAGGAGGUAAAAAGAAAGCCAUGGUUAAGUUUUUACAAGCUGAAAUACCUUCAAAUUUUCUUUCAAAUUUUUAAUGUUCUGCCAGUCAGAUUUUUUUUCUAAAAUGGAUCCUUAAAUCUUGGCAUGGUAACACUGGAUCAGGAUUUAAUUUUAGAUGAAUGGUUACUGUAAGUUGAGGGGUUUUUGUUUUGGUUUUUUUCCUAGACAUCCAAUUAUCUUUAUAACAUAAUAAUGACUUACCAUCAGUAGUUGGUUUAUAGUCAUAUUCUGCAUGAGAACUGUAUGCACUGUACAAGUGAUUAUAUGGGGAAAAAAAAAAAGAAACCCAAAAAACCCCAAACCCCAAAACCCCACAAUUGAAUUGCUUCUUAGCAGAAAGGCAGAGUAGUUUGUCAGCCUUUACAGUGGUGCACACAGAUCUAGAACCCUUUUAUGAUCCCUGUCUACUUUGUUGCUAAAUUACUAGAUCACUUGCGUUUAUAAAAAUAUAUCUCUAUAGAUGUAUAUAUUAUCUGGGAAGCUUUUGCAAUAACAUUUGUCUUGCUAGAAGUCCUACAGAAUGAAAAGUACUGGAUUUUUCAAAUUUAAUACUGUUGUAUCUUUUGGGUCCAGAGGCUCCUGUUUUGCCUGGUUUUGUGCACUUGUUUAGCUUCUUAUCAAUGCCACUAACUUCUUAUCAAUGCUAGCCUGGUACAGUAAUGAUGCUGAAGAACUUACAGUUCUUUCCACGUCACUGAUUAUUUUAGUGUAGGCCUCUAGUCCCCUUAUACUUAGAGAAAACAUGAAGAUACUGUUUUAAAUAAAUGCUCUACAAACAUAAUGGACAAUUAAAAAUCAGAAACUAGUUAAGAAAAGCUUUUGAACUGUUAGGGUCCUCCAAACAUGGACAGCACUAGUGAAAAAGAGGCUGUUCCUUCAAUAAUGUUCUAAAACUUGAAAUGCAUUUCAAUGAAAUCAUCACACAAGAGAAUUAAUUUUGGAGAUACUUCUUAAAUGUUCUGGGUUUAUUUUGCAGCAUGAAUGCUAUGUGUCCACCAGAUACCAAUUUUAAAAUACUUUUUUAUGAAUGCUACAGAAUUAUAAAAACUGAGGGCUUUGAUACAUCUGACUUUAUUUUUUAUAUAUUCGAAGAACAAUUUUCUUAAGCAUAUUAGGUUUUCCUGUUGGUGAGAAUGGAUUCUAACUGUACAUGAAGUCAAAAUUUUACUGAACACAGUUCCAUAGAAGCCAAAGCAGGACAAGAGUAAACCAUAAACCAAGUAUCAAUUACAGUGCUUAUGAUGUCUAUAAUAUGAUAUUGAGAGCCGUGAGUGUAUUUUUCUUCUGAAUCUUUCAGCAGAACUAUUAUUGUUCCUAGUAGAACCUCCUGUUUGUGGACAAAAUUGGGGUUUCCUCAAAGAGAGUCCUGUAUCUGAAGAGUGAGAAGGUAAGGUAUUUGAGGUUAUAUUAUUUUAGCAAGGAGUUAAAAGCAAUUUCAAUGACUUGUAACGCACACAAAUAUACAAAAAUACUUGAUUUAUCAUGCAUCGAGAAGUCUCAAAUUGUUUAUAUCAGUUUCUGUUUGUUGUUUUUUUCCUUUUUAUCUCAUGGGUGGAAUUUCUGAAAGUAUUCAGCUCUGCUUUCUAAAUGUGUUUUCCAUGAAGUCAAUGAGCUGACCUGAGUGGGAAUAAAGGUUGGUUUAUCUUUAGUGAGACAAAGUUAAGUCAUCACUAAGUGAUUUUGAAAUCUCAUCCUUGAAGCACUAGGUCUUUGACAUUCAGUGGGAUGAGAAUCUCAGAACAGACUGACUACUGGGGACUCCCAAGCUACAGUUCAGAAACCAUUUUGUUAGGUGUGGGUUGCUUGUCAGAAAUCCAUUCGAAGCUUGAGUGCAAGGCAAGCAGGGUACUAAUGAUGGAUAUGAAUGGAUAUCUUCAGGAUAACAAUGGAUGCAGCAUCUUCAAAAGCAGUGUCAUUCUGGCUCUGCCACUGGAUUUGUUCAAAUGGACCUUGAUAGCCAUGGGGCCUGACUGAGUUGAUGAGACUCUGGGUGACUGCAAGUUUCUACUCUGAAGAUCUGAUUGUAGGCUUCAACCUAAAUUUCUAUUUUAUUCCUCUGUCUAUUUCCUUCUAAUACAUGAAAAUUAUCCUACAAAAUGGUAUUGUCUUUGAGUCUCAUGCACACCUACUUUAAUAGCAUUCAGAUACCAUGUGCUUGGGAUGUUGUCAGAGAUCGUUAAAACACUUCUGUUGUGUCAUAUGCCAAAACCUCAUCAUUGCUGUGAUUAUUGCGUUAUAUUUUUACAUUCAGUGGCUUCCUACCUAAAAUGGAGAUCAUCAUCUGUGUUUUCAGUCAUUGUGGUAUUUCUCUUAACUCAGAUUUGGAAGUCAGAGUAACUGUUAGAACUCUAUUCAGGUCUACACUUUUAAAGGUGCUAGUAGACUUGGUUUUGUUUGUUGAACACAAAUAAGUUCUAUUUUACUUUAUUUUGCAAUGUGCUGUUUUUUUAGUAGCCUACUACUACUGAAAGCUUUCAAUAUGAUGAUACCCUGUGAUGUAGACCAAUAAAAUAAGUAGGAAAAGGCA